GAACACUAGCUUGACACUACAGCACUGAAAUCAGUGACAGAAACUCGAGCGCAGUUUACCAUCCGCUCCACUAGGGGGCGCGAGCGUGUUUCACUGUCAGCGCGACACCUUUGGGUCCUUGACAACAACGACGCUUGAUGACAGUCGCUACGACACGUGCAGAUGACAGCUAUUAUCACACAACUGCACAUAUUCCAGCAAAUAAACCGACUCACAGCGCGAUAAAAUGCGGGAAUCGAGUGUCAUUAACUCCUCGAAUAAGGGAUGUUUGGACACCCAGUCAUCAGAAGCAGAGCUGUAGGAAGUGUGGACAGACAUUGACUGUAAUGAUGGACUUCUGCUGAUGGACAGACAGAAAAGUAUAACCCCUGCUGGACAUCUUACCGGGGCUCGGGGGGGGGACCCGACUCAUCCCCGCCCCUUCACGCUCACACCAUUCACUCAUAUCGCUGAGAUCUGGCUGGGAUUGAACCAGCAACCUCUGAACCCCUGAGGCAGCGCUCUUAACCUGUGAGCCACAGAUCUCAUGUCUGAACAUGUGCAGGAACUUAUAUUUCACUGUUUCCUGACCUGUGAUUUACAAUAAACUAGUUCAAGUUCUCUGGUGUGUGUUUGUCCUGAUUGAGGUGGGAUUUGAACCCAAGCCUCCAUCGCAGUCUCACCACCAGAGAACGUGUGUUUAGUCACUCACACCACUGUGACUUUCACACUGAGUGCUGGUGUUUGGGCCAUUUUGUUGGAAAUAAUGCCAACAAUUUAAUGUUAGCAGUAGUGGGAUUUGAACCCAAGUCUCCAUCGCGGUCUCAUCACCAGAGAACGUGUGUUUAGCCACUUGCGCCACUGUGACUUUCACUCUGAAUUCUGGCAUUUGGCCCACUUUAUUGGAACUAAUGCCAACAAUUUAAUGAUAGUAAUAGUGGGAUUUGAACCCAAGCCUCUGUCACAGUCUCACCACCAGAGAACGUGUUUAGCCACUGUGAGUUUCACACUGAGCGUUGGCGUUUGGGCCUCUUUGUUGGAUAUAAUGCCAACAAUUUAAUAUAGGCAAUAGUGGGGUUUGAACCCAAACCUCCGUCACAGUCUCGUCACCAGAGAACAUGUGUUUAGCCACUUGUGCCACUGUGACUUUCACACUGAGUGCUGGUGUUUGGGCCAUUUUGUUGGAAAUAAUGCCAACAAUUUCACAUAAGCAAUAGUGGGAUUUGAUCUCAGGUCGUUCUCAUACAAUCAGCAGUUAAUCGUCCACUGAGCCACUGAGCCUGUGACAAUCAUGAGAAGUUAUUCAUAGAUUUAAUUACCUUUAGCACUUUUUUUAUGUGUAAUGCAGAUGGUGUAUUUGUGUUCUUGGCUUUGUCAGAUUUUACUGGCUCAAGAACAUGAAUCACUUCAUAAUUUCCACCACAUUAUCUGAGUGAAAUGAGUGACUGUAUGUAAAUAUAAUGUACACACACUCAUGGGAAUUUUCAUUAAGAUCUUUAUUCAUUCUUUACAUGUCAAACUCAAACUGAAACACACACAUGACUAGUAAACAGCAUUUAUUUAUUCAGGUAAAUAGAUUUGAUAUGAAUUAGAAACACAGAGAUCAUCACACCUGCCUGGAAGUUUCUAGUAAAGCUGAAGACCUUGAUUAGCUGCUUCAGGUGUUUGUAAUGAGGUUGGAGCUAAACUCAGGAAAGUGGAUCACCAGGAGCAGGAUUGGACAGACAGUCCUGCUUUAUUUCUUUUCUUCAUAUAUGAAUGCAGGUACACUUAUCGUCCACAAGGCGGCGCUGACACUGAUCUGAUCUCAUGUGUGUGCCUGUUAUAUUAAUGAGUAAAAACACCAUUAAAUGUUUUAGCAGAUACAUAAUUGGUUUAACUGUGAACGAUAAACAUCACUUAAAGACAAAAACAAAUGAACCUGACACAGACAAACGGAUCUUUUGUCAUGCGUAUUUUGUUUAUGCUUGAGGCCAGUGCCUUUCAGCAGAUCUGUCUUACCCAUCAGAUGAGAGCUGAUCUGACUCAGAUCCUGGGAAAAUCAUUAGUUUUCAAAAAUAUGAGAAUUAACUUUCUCACGUAUGUCUGGCCACAAAGUUGACUUGACCAGAACACAUUUAGGUAGGUUAGCUUGACACUACAAUGCAUGCAGCGGACAAAUGCGACCU